CCCCGGUGCUGGCGAGUUGCUUUUAUCGUUGCGUUGUGGUCGGUGAUGUGCUAGUGGUUUACGGCAUCGCCCGGCAGCGGCGUGACUGCAAGAUCCCAGACGUGCGCCGAGCGGGACACAGCGCUCCCUGUCUGCACGACAGAAAGCGCAUCAGGGACUGUCUAAUCCUUGCUGGUGGUGAGGCGUUGGUGAAGGAUUUGUGUGGUUUUUGGAGGCCAUGAUGAAGAUGUUCUGAAAUGUGUCUCGACGAAGACUGCACAGCUCUGAGAAUGUGCGAGAUGGUACACUUUGGGUGAACUGGCCAAGAUGUGAGAUAUAUCAAGUGA